rnacentral:rRNA from 1 species
GACGAACGCUGGCGGCGUGCUUAACACAUGCGAGUCGAACGGAAAGGCCCUGCUUUUGUGGGGUGCUCGAGUGGCGAACGGGUGAGUAACACGUGAGUAACCUGCCCUUGACUUUGGGAUAACUUCAGGAAACUGGGGCUAAUACCGGAUAGGAGCUCCUGCUGCAUGGUGGGGGUUGGAAAGUUUCGGCGGUUGGGGAUGGACUCGCGGCUUAUCAGCUUGUUGGUGGGGUAGUGGCUUACCAAGGCUUUGACGGGUAGCCGGCCUGAGAGGGUGACCGGCCACAUUGGGACUGAGAUACGGCCCAGACUCCUACGGGAGGCAGCAGUGGGGAAUAUUGCACAAUGGGCGGAAGCCUGAUGCAGCAACGCCGCAUGCGGGAUGACGGCCUUCGGGUUGUAAACCGCUUUCGCCUGUGACGAAGCGUGAGUGACGGUAAUGGGUAAAGAAGCACCGGCUAACUACGUG